UGCUCCUCUGGCGUCGAGCGGCGGACGGGUGAGUAAUGCUUGGGAAUGUGCCUUAUGGUGGGGGACAACAGUUGGAAACGACUGCUAAUACCGCAUAAUGUCUUCGGACCAAAGUGGGGGACCUUCGGGCCUCACGCCAUAAGAUCAGCCCAAGUGGGAUUAGCUAGUUGGUAAGGUAAUGGCUUACCAAGGCGACGAUCCCUAGCUGGUUUGAGAGGAUGAUCAGCCACACUGGGACUGAGACACGGCCCAGACUCCUACGGGAGGCAGCAGUGGGGAAUAUUGCACAAUGGGCGCAAGCCUGAUGCAGCCAUGCCGCGUGUGUGAAGAAGGCCUUCGGGUUGUAAAGCACUUUCAGUAAGGAGGAAAGGUUAAGUGUUAAUAGCACUUAGCUGUGACGUUACUUACAGAAGAAGCACCGGCUAACUCCGUGCCAGCAGCCGCGGUAAUACGGAGGGUGCGAGCGUUAAUCGGAAUUACUGGGCGUAAAGCGUACGCAGGCGGUUUGUUAAGCGAGAUGUGAAAGCCCCGGGCUCAACCUGGGAACUGCAUUUCGAACUGGCAAACUAGAGUGUGAUAGAGGGU
rnacentral:rRNA from 1 species